ensembl:snRNA U1 U1 spliceosomal RNA
AUACUUACCUGGCAGGAGAGACACCAUGAUCAGGAAGGUGGUUUUCCCAAGAUGAGGCUUAUCCAUUGCACUGUGGGUGUGCUGCAAUUUCCCUGAAUGUGGGAAACUUGACUGCAUAAUUUGUGGUCAUGGGGGACUGCAUUUGGGCUCUCCCCCC